AAAGCACAAGUAACUGAUUUAGAGAUGAAUUAAUUUCAUGCUGAUGCCUGGCAGUGUAUUGACAUAUGAGCUUACAGUAAGUUUAUAGCUUUGCUCCACAGCAGGGUGUUUGUUUCCACUUCAGCCACUGUAAAUCAAGGCCAGUCCUUGGAUGACCUUCAGAGAGUGUGUGUGUGUGUGUGUGUGUGUGUGUGUUUGACAAAGAGGUCUUUAUCUUAAAUGUGUAAGGAUUCAUGUAUUCCAUUCAGCAUUAAUAUGAAGUGUUGUCUUUUCAGGAUUGGCCGGGGUGCUCACGCUAACCUCCAAGGCUCAUGUUACCGUCAGUCAUCUUUCCAGGUGUUUCAGAUGGAGACUUGAAAAGUGGCUGUGAAAAUGUGACUCCGUUUUUGGUGAGUUUUAUAUUUUCACUGCAAUCAAACAAUUUCAUGCUCUUCUGUGGCUUCAGUAACCUCUCCCACAUCUGGCCUUGUAAUAUCCUUCGAAAUCCCACUGAGUAACACUAAAAAAAACCCUGCAAAAUCUCUUGAACGCCAAGAUUCGUGUGCAGGCACGCGACUGCAGCUCUCACUUGACCUGAGUAGAAAGUCCACUUUCUUGAUAUAGUCACCUCUGCCCCCCAUUCACGUUUGUGGCUACAGACCUGCU
rnacentral:lncRNA from 1 species